UACAGAGGUCUCAAGCGUUGUUCGGAUUCAUUGGGCGUAAAGGGCGCGUAGGCUGCGGGGCAAGUCGGGUGUGAAAUCUCAGAGCUCAACUCUGAAACUGCACUCGAUACUGCUUUGCUUGAGGACUGGAGAGGAGAGUGGAAUUCACGGUGUAGCAGUGAAAUGCGUAGAUAUCAGGAGGAACACCAACGGCGAAGGCAGCACUCUGGGCCGGUACUGACGCUGAGGAGCGAAAGCGUGGGGAGCGAACAGG
rnacentral:rRNA from 1 species